rnacentral:rRNA from 1 species
AUGGACGUGCCUGGAUCAUGGGCAAAGGAGUAUAAACUGGGGAAUCUUCACUUGGCCUUCUCACCAAACAUCCUUCAAAAACAACAUGCACGACCCAAGAUCAAGGAACGCACCUCAAAAUACCCCCAAAGAGUGCCACCAGAAUUAUCCAACCCCACAGACACCUUGCAGAAUUUAAACAGGUCAAGCAAAAGCAAACAAAAAUUAGAGGGGAAUGGCACAAUCUACUAUAUUUGCAGUAAAAACCAAGCCCGCGAGAUCUUUGUGCAAGGCAAACUAGCUAAACAGAUCAAGCAAAGUUCCACAGAAGCAAACCUUCACGCAUAA